GAAAGCCAUAACACUUUGGGAAUGAUGUAAAAAUAUACAUGAAGACUUGCAGACAUUUUUUGGACAUAUACUCUUCCUGACAAGCAAACACUGUGAACCUUUACAAGUGUAUUAGCUAAAACAGUACAGCUAGGUACAGGUUCAUGUGAAUUUAAAGGUGCAUAUCCCUCCAUGUUGAUUCUCUAAAGACCCGUAAGAACACACAGCUGUUCUUCCAGUGGGUUCCUGAGACACUGCCCUCACCAUUUGUUUUCACAGUUUUCAGACUCACUUCCCUGUUGGAUUUGGUUGACAUGAACAGUGUGGUCACCUCAUUUUCCUGGUUGUUUCUGUUUGUUUUUAAAUCUCCACCUUUGUUGGUGUACUUUUUCAUAUUUUUAUGGGCAUAAUAAUAGCUACAGAGUGCUUUUAUGCAGAGAGGUUUUAAAUUCAGUGUAUAGUAACAUUCUCUUUGGGGCGGAGAGGCGAGAGGGCAAGUCAGGGAUGUAAAAACAUUGAUUACAAGGAAUGUAUUUUUCCUGUUCAAAGUUGGAAAAAUAAAGAAGGAAUUGCUCAUACUAUUUUUAUUGCAAAAGGGUAUUUUACUUUUAGGUUUUAUUGCUUUAGAAAGCCUAGCAGAACAAACAUGAGAUUCUCUGGAGUGAAAGUCUUUGUACUAAGCAUUCUGUAUGGACAUAUUUAUUCCAUUUUAUAAUUCUGUUGAAUAGCUGCUCCAUAUAAACAGAAAAUUGCUGUAUAACUCCUUCCAUCCUCCUCCCCAAAAGACAGUUAAGUGAAAUCCAGAGCAGUAACUCAAUCACUAAGCUGUUUAUGCUGAAAUACAUACUUAAUUCUAAUGUUGCUUCAGGAGUGGCUGUUUCUUAAUCAUGUCUUUCAUUUUUUGGUUGUGGAAUUUGAUUUGCUACUCUAUGUAAUACCUGUAUGGUAUUGCAAAUAAAUACCUCAUUGUGAAUAUCAAGGAGUAAUUAGAAGAUCAGAAUGCUCGA